rnacentral:misc_RNA from 1 species
AUUGUAAUGACAGAGAUGGAAACAGCAUCCAGCAACAUGAAGAGUUUCUACAGGCAAAGGAUGAGCAAUAGAGUUGGCAUCACAAAGUCCAAGAAGAAAUCGCCCAAACUUGCAUCAGCUAUCGGCUGUGAUAUCACCCAGACAAGGACGCUCAUUUCUCAUGGCGCCCCGGAUCUUCAAGGUAGUGAUUUUUCUGCUCUGUUGUAUGUUUCUGUUACUUGUAAUUUUUUAGGGCCUGUUUAAUAUAGUUAUUGGAGUUUUUGGUGCUAUGCUGCUGGUUUUGAUAGAUGAUCAUGACAAACAUGAGGAACUGUUUAGGCAAUUUGACAUGAGCAUGGCAUAUGGACCGUGCCUUGGGAUGAUCCGGCUGGCACGAUGGGAGCGUGCUCAACGUUUAGGUCUUAACCCACCCAUAGAAAUUGAGGGUUUGAUGAAGGAUGGAAAGGUAAACUCAGAUUGCCUGUGGGAUGGCCGUGUUUAGAUGUUAUUAAUAGUAUGCUUGGUGAGAUAAUAGAAUCUGACGUAUUGCUAGUUGUGAUUUUCUUUUUGUAAUUUUCAUGUUCAGCCUCUAGCUGUGUUGUUAGUAUGUUUAUAUGUCUUGAUGAAUUAAUGAAUUUGCUGAUAUUAAUGGAGUGAUUUUCUUUGUGAUUAUCUGCACUCUGUAAUUCUGUUGUUUGAUGAUAAACAAUGCGUGCACAUUUUCAAUUUAGG